CAGUCGCCGCGGGAAAACAGAGGGUGCAAGCGUUAAUCGGAUUUACUGGGCGUAAAGGGCGCGUAGGUGGUUAUGUAAGUGAGAUGUGAAAUCCCCGGGCUCAACCUGGGAACUGCAUCUUAUACUGCGUAGCUGGAGUGCAGUAGAGGGUAGUGGAAUUUCCGGUGUAGCGGUGAAAUGCGUAGAUAUCUGAAGGAACACCAGUGGCGAAAGCGGCCUCCUGGUCCAGUACCGACGUUCAGGCACGAAAGCGUGGGGAGCAAACAGGAUUAGAGACCCCAGUAGUCCCUGUCUCUUAUAA
rnacentral:rRNA from 1 species